GCUGUGCCGGUUCGAUCGGGAUACUCAUCAAAUUACAUUGAAAACCGAGCUGACUCCUCUUGUCAAUGGCGGGCCACAAUUCUAAGCCGAAAGGUCGGUGGAUUACAACGACGGAGGGUGCUCAAAUCUUUUAACAAAGGAGUUUUCAUCACAUCACCGGGCGGCACC
rnacentral:sRNA from 1 species